rnacentral:snRNA from 1 species
CUACAGACCUAGAAGAGCUAAAGCCAUUUCUAAAAAGAAGAAAUAAAAAGAAGAAAGUUGGAUAAACCUGCGAUUUCCCCAAAUGUGGGAAACUCGACUGCAUAAUUUGUGGUAGUGGGGGACUGCGUUCGCGCUUUCCCCUG